GUGGGGAAUAUUGGACAAUGGGCGAAAGCCUGAUCCAGCCAUGCCGCGUGUGUGAAGAAGGUCUUCGGAUUGUAAAGCACUUUAAGUUGGGAGGAAGGGCAGUAAGUUAAUACCUUGCUGUUUUGACGUUACCGACAGAAUAAGCACCGGCUAACUUCGUGCCAGCAGCCGCGGUAAUACGAAGGGUGCAAGCGUUAAUCGGAAUUACUGGGCGUAAAGCGCGCGUAGGUGGUUUUGUAAGUUGGAGGUGAAAUCCCCGGGUUCAACCUGGGAACUGCCUCCAAAACUGCAUGACUAGAGUACGGUAGAGGGUAGUGGAAUUUCCUGUGUAGCGGUGAAAUGCGUAGAUAUAGGAAGGAACACCAGUGGCGAAGGCGACUACCUGGACUGAUACUGACACUGAGGUGCGAAAGCGUGGGGAGCAAACAGGAUUAGAUACCCCAGUAGUCC
rnacentral:rRNA from 1 species